AAAGGCGCUUUCGGGUGUCGCUGAUGGAUGGACCCGCGGUGCAUUAGCUAGUUGGUGAGGUAACGGCUCACCAAGGCCACGAUGCAUAGCCGACCUGAGAGGGUGAUCGGCCACAUUGGGACUGAGACACGGCCCAAACUCCUACGGGAGGCAGCAGUAGGGAAUCUUCGGCAAUGGACGAAAGUCUGACCGAGCAACGCCGCGUGAGUGAAGAAGGUUUUCGGAUCGUAAAACUCUGUUGUUAGAGAAGAACAAGGAUGAGAGUAACUGUUCAUCCCUUGACGGUAUCUAACCAGAAAGCCACGGCUAACUACGUGCCAGCAGCCGCGGUAAUACGUAGGUGGCAAGCGUUGUCCGGAUUUAUUGGGCGUAAAGCGAGCGCAGGCGGUUUCUUAAGUCUGAUGUGAAAGCCCCCGGCUCAACCGGGGAGGGUCAUUGGAAACUGGGAGACUUGAGUGCAGAAGAGGAGAGUGGAAUUCCAUGUGUAGCGGUGAAAUGCGUAGAUAUAUGGAGGAACACCAGUGGCGAAGGCGGCUCUCUGGUCUGUAACUGACGCUGAGGCUCGAAAGCGUGGGGAGCAAACAGGAUUAGAUACCCUGGUAGUCCACGCCGUAAACGAUGAGUGCUAAGUGUUG
rnacentral:rRNA from 1 species